rnacentral:lncRNA from 1 species
CUCUCUAUUUCUUCGUUUAAACGUUUUUCAGCUUUCUUGAGGUAGUCUCCACAGUCGCAACAUUCAAUGAACCUCUGAGACUCGGCCCUGUAAAAAUCAGCUGAUACUUCAAGAAAAGUUUUUUCAAAGUCUUCCUGGUACACGGAUGGUCCUAAAUCCAUUAGCAUCUUAAUUAUAUUUCUCAUCAGUUUUUUUCAAAGUCUUCCUGGUACACAGAUGGUCCUAAAUCCAUUAGCAUCUUAAUUAUAUUUCUCAUCAGUCCCCGGUUAAUUACUUCCCCAUCCCGUUCUUUGAGUAUCAGUCCAAGAAGCGUACUCAGAAGUCUCAUCUG